rnacentral:rRNA from 2 species
UACGUAGGGAGCAAGCGUUAUCCGGAUUUACUGGGUGUAAAGGGCGUGUAGGCGGGCUUGUAAGUUGGAAGUGAAAUCUCGGGGCUUAACCCCGAAACUGCUUUCAAAACUGCGAGUCUUGAGUGAUGGAGAGGCAGGCGGAAUUCCCAGUGUAGCGGUGAAAUGCGUAGAUAUUGGGAGGAACACCAGUGGCGAAGGCGGCCUGCUGGACAUUAACUGACGCUGAGGCGCGAAAGCGUGGGGAGCAAACAGG